GACUGAACUAGCUCUGUGAGGCUCCUCCAAAUCCUCCCAGAGACUAGCCAGCCUACCCUGCCAGGGUUGCCGAUGAGCACCCCGAAGCCUGCAGUCCCUCUUGCCUCUGACCGUCUUUCACUCCCCUCCGGCUCUCUCUACCUCUCCAGGGCCAGGCUUUGGAGAUGAUGAUCUUAGGCCCACCCAAGACAAGAAGCCCUGAGGCUGCUAGAGAGAGGAGAGGGCUCUGAGCUGUGCACCUGGCCCUGAGGGACCCAGGCAUCCCCGGUCCCUGGGAGCUCCCAGAUACAUGUACACCCAGGGAAGAACGAGUGACACACAUUAAGGGCUCAGCCACAAAGGUAAAAAGCCUGUGAGAGCAUCCAGUCCAUCCCGGACAUUCUCAGAAAUACAAGCAAGGAACACAGCAUGGAGCCCAGCACCAGGAGAAUCUUGGAAUUUUGCCCCUCUCUUACUGCUGUGUCUAAACUUUUGUAGGUCCUACUUCCUGCUUCUUUGUGUGAUUGGGAGUCUUUGAUUGACAGAAAUUAUGAAUUUUACCUCUUGGUUGUCAGAUAUCUUUUAUUCUAUAAAUAAAAUAUCUUUGGAACUUUG